GAUGAACGCUGGCGGCGUGCCUAAUACAUGCAAGUCGAGCGAACGGACGAGAAGCUUGCUUCUCUGAUGUUAGCGGCGGACGGGUGAGUAACACGUGGAUAACCUACCUAUAAGACUGGGAUAACUUCGGGAAACCGGAGCUAAUACCGGAUGAUAUUUUGAACCGCAUGGUUCAAAAGUGAAAGACGGUCUUGCUGUCACUUAUAGAUGGAUCCGCGCUGCAUUAGCUAGUUGGUAAGGUAACGGCUUACCAAGGCAACGAUGCAUAGCCGACCUGAGAGGGUGAUCGGCCACACUGGAACUGAGACACGGUCCAGACUCCUACGGGAGGCAGCAGUAGGGAAUCUUCCGCACUGGGCGAAAGCCUGACGGAGCAACGCCGCGUGAGUGAUGAAGGUCUUCGGAUCGUAAAACUCUGUUAUUAGGGAAGAACAUAUGUGUAAGUAACUGUGCACAUCUUGACGGUACCUAAUCAGAAAGCCACGGCUAACUACGUG
rnacentral:rRNA from 1 species